GGGCUCUGUGAGGAGGCAAGGUUCUCAGGGGACAGGCUGACCAGGAUCACCAGGAAGCUCCAGAGGAUCCCCAGGAGGCCCUAGAGGAGCACCAAAGGAGAAGAUCUGCCAGUGGGUCUCCAUUGCCCAGCUCCUGCCCACACUCCUGCCUGUUGCGGUGACCAGAGUCGUCAUGUCUCUUGAGCAGAAGAGUCAGCACUGCAAGCCUGAGGAAGGCCUUGACACCCAAGAAGAGGCCCUGGGCCUGGUGGGUGUGCAGGCUGCCACUACUGAGGAGCAGGAGGCUGUGUCCUCCUCCUCUCCUCUGGUCCCAGGCACCCUGGGGGAGGUGCCUGCUGCUGGGUCACCAGGUCCUCUCAAGAGUCCUCAGGGAGCCUCCGCCAUCCCCACUGCCAUCGAUUUCACUCUAUGGAGGCAAUCCAUUAAGGGCUCCAGCAACCAAGAAGAGGAGGGGCCAAGCACCUCCCCUGACCCAGAGUCUGUGUUCCGAGCAGCACUCAGUAAGAAGGUGGCUGACUUGAUUCAUUUUCUGCUCCUCAAGUAUUAAGUCAAGGAGCCGGUCACAAAGGCAGAAAUGCUGGAGAGAGUCAUCAAAAAUUACAAGCGCUGCUUUCCUGUGAUCUUCGGCAAAGCCUCCGAGUCCUUGCAGCUGGUCUUUGGCAUUGACGUGAAGGAAGCGGACCCCACCAGCAACACCUACACCCUUGUCACCUGCCUGG
ensembl:lncRNA novel transcript